CCUACGGGGAGCUGCAGUGGGGGAUAUUGCACAAUGGGGGGAACCCUGAUGCAGCGACGCCGCGUGGGUGAAGAAGCGCCUCGGCGCGUAAAGCCCUGUCAGCCGGGAAGCAACUGACGGUACCUGAAGAAGAAGCCCCGGCUAACUACGUGCCAGCAGCCGCGGUAAUACGGCGGGGGCCAGCGUUAUCCGGAUUGACUGGGUGUAAAGGGGGCGCAGGCGGCGAUGCAAGCCAGGAGUGAAAGCCCUGGGCCCAACCCCGGGACUGCCUUUGGAACUGCGUGGCUGGAGUGCAGGAGGGGCAGGCGGAAUGCGUGGUGUAGCGGUGAAAUGCGUAGAUAUCAGGAGGAACACCGGUGGCGAAGGCGGCCUGCUGGACUGCAACUGACGUUGAGGCCCGAAAGCGUGGGGAGCAAACAGGAUUAGAUACCCUGGUAGUC
rnacentral:rRNA from 1 species